rnacentral:rRNA from 1 species
CAUGCAGUCGACGCUGAAGCCUGGGUGCUUGCAUCUGGGUGGAUGAGUGGCGAACGGGUGAGUAACACGUGAGUAACCUGCCCCUGAUUUCGGGAUAAGCCCGGGAAACUGGGUCUAAUACCGGAUACGACCAUCUGCCGCAUGGCGGGUGGUGGAAAGUUUUU